rnacentral:misc_RNA from 1 species
UUGUAAAUUAUUUUUGGCCUUUUUGGGAAAAUUCUUUACAAUUCUUAUUUAUAUUGCAUAUUUGAAAAGUUAUGAUGUUCCAAAUUCAAAUGUUUAACAUUUUCCCCCUUUUUUUUCUUGCACCCCUGUUUUAAUAGUCUUAGACCAUUUCCAAUUUAGUGAGCUUGAUUGCAUAACUCAUAUUGACCUGUAUGAUUUACCAUCCAGUCACUGUCCCUGUCUAAUAAGUAUGGCAAAUUUCCUUACAUAGAACUGGGCAGAAGAUCUUCUGAACAUG